CCUCCAGCCAGAAGCCAGAAACAGGCACUUCCAAGCAAUGUAUCUUACCCAUAUUGUAGAUAGUAACAAUUUGACCUCAUAUGCUGGUGACCCUGCGCUGCUGUUAGGAGACCACUUCUUGGUUCUCUGAGAAAUGUAAGAAAUGUAUUGGGGUUGGUAUAGCUGGGUGUGAUGGCUCACACCUGUAAUCCCUGCGCUUUGGGCGCCAAGGCAGGCGGAUUGUUUGAGCCUAUGAAUUCAAGACCAGCCUGGGCAACAUAGGGAGACCCUGUCUCUACCAAAACAGUUAUCCCAGCUUCUGGGCAGAUUGAGGAAAACAAGCUCAGGGCUCCCACUGAUUGUACAUUAUGAGACAGAGUCUUCUUGCUAUGUUGCCCAGGCUGGUCUUGAACUCCUAACCUCAAGCGAUCCUCCCAUCUUGGCCUCCCAGGUGUCAGGAUUACAGGCAUGUGCUAUCACACCCAACCUGAUACAUUGCCUUUAUAAAUUUUUUUUUCUUUAUUCUAAAAAACAGAAAAAACAAAACUGGAUACAUGUGCAGAACAUGCAGGUUUGUUACAUAGCUGUACGUGUGCCAUGGUGGUUUGCUGCACCUAUUGACCUAUCCUGUAAGUUCCCUCCCCUCACCCCCACCCCCCAACAGCCCU
rnacentral:antisense_RNA from 1 species